UAACCACUGAAGACUGCCCCAGCUGACAGCUCUGAAAAAAGACCUGUCAGCUAGGAGAAGGAUUGUGUCUAAUGGAAUGAAGAUCCUCAAUUGCAUCUGGAGCAGGAGGAGGGAGGAGGACACAGACACCCCACAGGAUUCCACAAACACGCCCAACCAAGACCAAAGGUGAUUUCCUUUCACUGCAAAGAACAACUGGUAUCAUUAUUUCAAGCACCUCAUGAUGAAGUUUAAGAGCUCACAUCUUACAGUGAUGGGUGCCAGGAUGGGGUGCAGAAGGAGGAAAGGAAGAAUCAUUCCCCUGUCUGGAGCCAGCUGUAGAGGAAGAAUUGUCUUGGAGACAAGAGUCUGAACUAAGUGACCUGUCUGGGGAGGACUCUGUCUAUCCAGAGAUCUGUAUGCAGUGUUGUAGCCAUGUUGGUCUCUGGAUUUAGAGAGACAAGGUGGGUGAGGUAAUAUCUUUUACUGGACCAGCUUCUAUUGGUGACAGAGAUGAGCUUUUAAGUUUACAAAGAGAAGAACUCUGUAAGCUUGAAAGCUUCUCUCUCUCCAACAGAAGCUUAUCCAGUAAAAGAUACUCUCGUCUCACCCAUAUUGUCUGUCUAAUAUGUAGAGAUCUUACAGUCUGCAAACAUUUUCAGGAUUCAGUGGGACUGUCCAUACUC
rnacentral:lncRNA from 1 species